rnacentral:rRNA from 1 species
AACGAACGCUGGCGGCAUGCCUAACACAUGCAAGUCGAACGAUGCCUUCGGGCAUAGUGGCGCACGGGUGCGUAACGCGUGGGAAUCUGCCUUUCGGUUCGGAAUAACUCAGGGAAACUUGAGCUAAUACCGGAUAACGUCGCAAGACCAAAGAUUUAUCACCGAAAGAUGAGCCCGCGUAGGAUUAGCUAGUUGGUGAGGUAAAGGCUCACCAAGGCGACGAUCCUUAGCUGGUCUGAGAGGAUGAUCAGCCACACUGGGACUGAGACACGGCCCAGACUCCUACGGGAGGCAGCAGUGGGGAAUAUUGGACAAUGGGCGAAAGCCUGAUCCAGCAAUGCCGCGUGAGUGGUGAAGGCCUUAGGGUUGUAAAGCUCUUUUACCCGGGAAGAUAAUGACGGUACCGGGAGAAUAAGCCCCGGCUAACUCCGUG